UUCCUACGGGGCGCAGCAGUGAGGAAUAUUGGUCAAUGGGCUUACGCCUGAACCAGCCAAGUCGCGUGAGGGAAGACUGCCCUAUGGGUUGUAAACCUCUUUUGUCAGGGAGCAACGCCGGCUACGUGUAGCCGGACUGAGAGUACCUGAAGAAAAAGCAUCGGCUAACUCCGUGCCAGCAGCCGCGGUAAUACGGAGGAUGCGAGCGUUAUCCGGAUUUAUUGGGCGUAAAGCGAGUGCAGGCGGUUCAAUAAGGCUGAUUUGAAAGCCUUCGGCUCAACCG
rnacentral:rRNA from 1 species